GGAGAGCUCCGCCCUCCCCCGGUCGGAGAGGGGAAAGCAGGGUCGCGGGAGCCUUCGUUGCCUAGGCCGAAAGGAAGCCAAAACUUCCGGAAGUCGUAGUCCCUAGGCCCGGAAGGAGGCCGGACAGCCGGGAGUCCUAGUCCCCAGGCCCGGAAGAAGACCGAGCCCGGAAGGAGUCCGUAGUCCCCGGGCCCGGAAGGGGGCCGGACCGCCGGAAACUGGGUCUGCCAAGCCUGGGGCUCAGGGUGCAGUGUUCUCCACGAGACCGAGAGCUGGGCCGGCGACAUGGCGGGGCUGGAGCUCCUGUCUGACCAGGGUUACCGGGUGGACGGUCGUCGUGCCGGGGAGCUGCGCAAGAUCCAGGCGCGCAUGGGCGUGUUUGCGCAGGCCGACGGCUCGGCCUACAUCGAGCAGGGCAACACCAAGGCGCUGGCAGUGGUCUACGGGCCGCACGAGGCGAGUGGGCCGCGCGGGAUCGGCGGGGUCGCGGUCGCGCCUCCCGUUUACGCAACGAAUGCUCGAAGCCGCAUAUCGGCUGAGUAAAUGCCCAAGUUCUUAAGGUGCAUCUCUGGGUAUGUCCUGUCUCUCUCCUGCGCCCUGCUCUCCCUUGUCGGGUUCCUCAUCGUGCCAGGCUCUCGCCCAUUCGGUCACUUCCCCGCUGUUCUCCUCCGGCGUCAUGUUUGGGAUGCUGCCGCUCCAGGCCACAACACGCUCUGUUGCCUUUGUGUCUACCACCGGAACGUCAGCUCUACUUAAUCUUACCCGUUUGUCUUUCCACGGGAACAUAAACUCUCUGAGAGCAGCGACUUUAAAUAAAACUCUCUGAUUUUAUUGCUACGUUCUACGCUAUAACAGUGCCUCCCCAACGCAGAGAUAAUUUUUAAUUGCUUAGCAAAUUAAUGUGGGAGCCCAGUUUUCUAGAUGAAAGAAGCCAGGAUGAAGGCAAUGGGUAGAAACAAACAUGGCACUUCUGCAAAGCCGAAAGAAUGACGGUGGAGGGAGAGGAGAUAAUUCCAAAUAACGGUUUCCAGGGAGGUGAGGACUAGGGCUUUGUAGACUGGGGAAAGGAUUUGGGAUUUUAUUUCCCGUAUAACAGAAGCCUUUGGUAGGUAAGUAGAAUGUGAGUGUGUGGUGAGGCAGAAUCGGCUUGAUGUUUUUAAACAUACUGUGGCCACCACUUAGAGGAGUUGGGAGGAAAUGAAGUGAGGCAUGCACGCCAGAGGUGAUGAUGGCCUAGACUGACAAAUGGAUCUCCCUUGGAUGUUUUGGAGAUAAGGUUGCUGCCACUCUCUUGAGAAGGAGGUUGAAAGGACUAGGGAGUGUGAGCUGGGAGAGUAGGCUUGACUUAUGCAUCCUUUCUCUUCUAGAUCCGGGGUUCCAGGUCUCGAGCCCUGCCUGACCGGGCUCUGGUGAACUGUCAAUAUAGUUCAGCAACCUUCAGCACAGGUGAGCGCAAGCGGAGGCCACAUGGAGACCGUAAGUCCUGUGAGAUGGGCCUACAGCUGCGCCAGACUUUUGAGGCAGCCAUUCUUACUCAGCUGCACCCACGAUCCCAGAUUGACAUCUAUGUGCAGGUGAGCUGGCUGCAGUUUUCAACCCACCGAGGGAAGGGAACUGGAGGGUGGGAUGGCAGUUUAAUGGACUGAUAACAGCGUGGGGGGGUCCUUGCAGGUACUGCAGGCUGAUGGUGGAACCUACGCAGCUUGUGUGAAUGCCGCCACGCUGGCAGUGUUGGAUGCUGGGAUACCCAUGCGGGACUUUGUGUGUGCAUGUUCAGCUGGUUUUGUGGAAGGCACAGCCCUGGCAGACCUCAGCCAUGUGGAGGAAGCAGCUGGUGGUCCCCAACUAGCCCUGGCCCUGCUGCCAGCCUCAGGCCAGAUCGCACUGCUUGAAAUGGAUGCCCGGCUGCAUGAGGACCACUUGGAGCAGGUGCUUGAGGCCGCUGCCCAAGCAGCUAGAGAUGUGCACACCUUGUUGGACCAUGUGGUACGGCAGCAUGUGCGUGAGGCAUCUAUCUUGCUGGGGGACUGAACACCCAGCCACUUUUGUCCAGAAUAAAGUCCUGCUCCUCUGCUCAUCACUCUUUGCUGUAUAGCACUUGCAAACAGUUUGACUCUGGGGAAUGACGGGGGAGCCAACUCCACACAUGAACUAUAUCUCUUGUGGCCUCAGGACUCAAACCUCCAGAAGGAUAGGUGGUGUAGGGGUAUCUGGGUGGAGAAAGCAAUCU
rnacentral:lncRNA from 1 species